GUAAUCAAGCUCCAGAUGGUGCUGCAAACUAAACAACGCAAGGACACGCUGUUCUUCCAAGGACCUUAGAUCACCCCCAGGAGGAGCCCUAGUGCCUUCCCCAUCUGAUGUCCCUUUCAGCAGGAAAUAGCCAGAAAGAGUCAUCACCCAAAACCCCCUAACAGCAAUUAGGGUGAUAUUUCCACACUCCAGAAAAGUUUCCAUGUGUGUCCAUGUCAUUUUUUCCAAUUCAACGAGAGACAAACAACCCUGGUGUUCCUC
rnacentral:lncRNA from 1 species